rnacentral:rRNA from 1 species
UACGGGGGGGGCAAGCGUUGUUCGGAAUUACUGGGCGUAAAGGGCGCGUAGGCGGCCACCGCAAGUCGAUUGUGAAAUCUCCGGGCUUAACCCGGAAAGGUCAACCGAUACUGCGGGGCUAGAGUGCAGAAGGGGCAACUGGAAUUCUCGGUGUAGCGGUGAAAUGCGUAGAUAUCGAGAGGAACACCUGCGGCGAAGGCGGGUUGCUGGGCUGACACUGACGCUGAGGCGCGAAAGCUAGGGGAGCGAACGGG